rnacentral:rRNA from 1 species
GACGAACGCUGGCGGCGUGCCUAAUACAUGCAAGUCGAACGCAGUGGGGACGGGUGAGUAACACGUGGGUAACCUCACAGAAGAGGGGAUAACACUUGGAAACAGGUGCUAAACCGAUACUGAUGGAUGGACCCGCGGUGCAUUAGCUAGUUGGUGAGGUAACGGCCCACCAAGGCCACGAUGCAUGGCCGACCUGAGAGGGUGACCGGCCACACUGUGACUGAGACACGGCCCAGACUCCUACGUGAGGCAGCAGUAGGGAAUCUUCGGCAAUGGACGAAAGUCUGACCGAGCAACGCCGCGUGAGUGAAGAAGGUUUUCGGAUCGUAAAGCUCUGUUGUUAGAGAAGCGGUAUCUAACCAGAAAGCCACGGCUAACUACGUGCCAGCAGCCGCGGUAAUAC